rnacentral:rRNA from 1 species
GAUGAACGCUGACAGAAUGCUUAACACAUGCAAGUCGAUGGGGAAGUGGUGCUUGCACCAUGGUAACCAUGGCGGACGGGUGAGUAACGCGUAAGGAACUUGCCUGCGGGACUGGGAUAACAGCAGGAAACUGCUGAUAAUACCGGAUAAGGUCAUUAAGCUGCAUAGCUUAGUGAUGAAAGGAGACGCCUGCGGAGAGCCUUGCGUCCUAUUAGCUAGUUGGAGGGGUAACGGCCCACCAAGGCGAAGAUAGGUAGCCGGCCUGAGAGGGUGGACGGCCACAAGGGGACUGAGAUACGGCCCUUACUCCUACGGGAGGCAGCAGUGGGGAAUAUUGGACAAUGGGGGCAACCCUGAUCCAGCAAUUCUGUGUGCACGAAGACGGUUUUCGGAUUGUAAAGUGCCUUCAGCAGGGAAGAAGGAAGUGACGGUACCUGCAGAAGAAGCGACGGCUAAAUACGUG